rnacentral:ncRNA from 2 species
UGAUCCCUCGCGGGAGAGAUCGCCUGUGGAACCACCGGAAACGGAUGGGGACGCGGGCGGCGCCGAAGGAGCAACCGCCCCCGGAAACUCUCAGGCAAAAGGACCGCAAGGGGAUA